UACGUAGGUGACCAGCGUUGUCCGGAUUUAUUGGGCGUAAAGAGCGCGCAGGCGGUCGUUCAAGUCGAGUGUGAAAGCCCUCGGCUUAACUGAGGAAGUGCACCUGAAACUGGCAGGCUUGAGUACGAAAGAGGGUCGCGGAAUUCCCGGUGUAGAGGUGAAAUUCGUAGAUAUCGGGAGGAACACCGGUGGCGAAGGCGGCGACCUGGUUCGAUACUGACACUGAGGUGCGAAAGCGUGGGGAGCAAACAGG
rnacentral:rRNA from 1 species